rnacentral:rRNA from 1 species
UACGAAGGGGGCUAGCGUUGCUCGGAAUCACUGGGCGUAAAGGGUGCGUAGGCGGGUCUUUUAAGUCAGGGGUGAAAUCCUGGAGCUCAACUCCAGAACUGCCUUUGAUACUGAAGAUCUUGAGUUCGGGAGAGGUGAGUGGAAUUGCGAGUGUAGAGGUGAAAUUCGUAGAUAUUCGCAAGAACACCAGUGGCGAAGGCGGCUCACUGGCCCGAAACUGACGCUGAGGCACGAAAGCGUGGGGAGCAAACAGG